AGUAAGCAAAUCAAGAAAAAGAAAUCUCAAGUAAUCCUUCGAGCAAAAGCGGAACUGGAGACUACUCAUCUCUUGCACAGACCCCGCUGGACCCCAUCAGGCUUGAUGGCGAUGAAGGUGCGCUCGGUGAUAGAAGCCAUCGUCCUAAUGAGGAAGGGAAUAAAAGGCGUUAUUCCAGGACCAGAAGGCAAGUACAGUCACAGUCCUGUGUCGUGUGUAACAUCAGCUCUCAUUAUAACUACAUCGGCUGCAUCUGAAGGUCAGUAACCCCGGGAUCUGCACCGGUUUGAUGGUCACUCACUGUACACAGGUUUUCACAAGUAAGUUUAAAACGAUGACAGUGUGCCAAGCCUGCAAACAGCAGCUAUUAAAACAGAAUGUAUGCUAACGACUGGCACAGAUACAGCUCCAAGUGCCGCCCGGGAGGCUGCCACCUGCGAUUUCAGGCAAAGGAGGUUGAAUAAAUGCAUAUGUAUAACUUUGAUCUGUAAA